CGUGUAGGCGGUCAGAUAAGUCUGGUGUGAAAGCCCUUGGCUUAACCAAGGAAUGUCGCUGGAAACUGUCUGGCUUGAGUACGAGAGAGGAGAGUGGAAUUCCCGGUGUAGAGGUGAAAUUCGUAGAUAUCGGGAGGAACACCAGUGGCGAAGGCGGCUCUCUGGAUCGAUACUGACGCUGAUACGCGAAAGCGUGGGAGCAAACAGGAUUAGAUACCCUGGUAGUCCACGCUGUAAACGUUGGGCACUAGGUGUAGGAGGUAUUGACCCCUUCUGUGCCGAAGCUAACGCAUUAAGUGUCCCGCCUGGGGACUACGGCCGCAAGGUUAAA
rnacentral:rRNA from 1 species